rnacentral:rRNA from 1 species
UGCUGGCGUUUGCAGUCGGCUCAGCUGAAUUGUACGAGUUGCCCCAUUUGAAAGUGAACGGCUUGACUCGGUGUAAUAAUUAUUUCGCUGGGGACGUUCUAUAUUUUUAAUAAAGAGGUGCUUCUAAUUAAAUAGUGUUUAUACUUUAGACCUCAAAUCAGAUAGGAUUACCCGCUGAACUUAAGCAUAUCAAUAAGCGGAGGAAAAGAAACUAACAAGGAUUCCCCUAGUAACGGCGAGUGAAGUGGGAAAAGCUCAACUUUGUAAUCUGGCAGCUUCGCUGUCCGACUUGUAGUCUCGAGAAGUGUUUUCCGCGCUGGAUCGUGUAUGAGUCUGUUGGAAUACAGCGUCAUAGAGGGUGAGAACCCCGUUCAUGACACGCCUACCAGUGCUUUGUGAUACACUUUCGAUGAGUCGAGUUGUUUGGGAAUGCAGCUCAAAAUGGGUGGUAAAUUCCAUCUAAAGCUAAAUAUUGGUGAGAGACCGAUAGCAAACAAGUACCGUGAGGGAAAGAUGAAAAGCACUUUGGAAAGAGAGUUAAAAGUACGUGAAAUUGUUGAAAGGGAAACGCUUGAAGUCAGACGUGCGCGGUAUUUAUACCACUGCAGGCCAGCAUCGGUUUUACUAGCCGGAUAAAGGUGUGAGGAAGGUGGCAGUCUCGGCUGUGUUAUAGCCUUAUACUGAAUACGGAAGGCGAGACCGAG